CGGCGCUGCUGCCACCAGCGGCCGCGCUGGGCCGGCGGAGGCUCGGCCUCGGGCAGGGGUGCGUGCCCGCCGUGUGUCAGCACUCGCUGUGUGAACGCGGGUCUGCACGCCGCCCACGGCACGUAGGCCUGUAAUAUCUGCGUGUAUGCACAGAAUUUGACGUACCACAGAAUCGUUAGGGGUUGGGAGGCACUUCUGGAGAUCAUCUCGACCUACUCUCCUGCCAAGACAGGGUCACCUGGAUCACGUAACACAGGAACGCGUCCAGGCUGCGGUACUUCAAGAACUGCUCCAGAGUGGAGCCCUUCCAGGGGUCCAGGGCUCAUGGCAGGAGCCUGCUCCAGAACAGGAUUCUGAUGGGAUCACAUGUAACUUUGGACAUCCACCUGCCCCAGCAUGGGAUCCUCCAUGGGCUGUCAGUGGUUCUGUGCUCUACAGUGGACUCCUCCCCAGGUCACAGUCGCUUGUACUCAAGUUCACAUUGGAGUUCCAGCCUGUCCAAUGUGACAGCACAGGAGCACAGAUUGCCCUGGGCACCCUCCAGCCCAGGCACGUUGGCAUGGCUGUCUCCAAAGUGUUCCAGGCACAAAAUGCCAAGGUGACCACCAGUGCAGCCAGCAGCAAAAUCAGAGCAGCCACUAACAAGCACUGGGUUCCAACAGGCAGACAGGAAAGGGAGCCCCAUGGCAAGCACUGUAGCCUGCCAAUUAAUAGCUAAACAGCAGCAACAGGUACAAAUUCAUUGUAGCACAUUCAGUGAAAUCUGCCCCUUCAUGCACUACACUGGGUGCCAAAACAACUGGUAUGGUAUAACUGCAGCUGUUCUUUUUUUCAUUUUAAUCACUUGUUUUUCUGGAGUUUUAUUUUGUCUCUCCUUGUUUUGUCUUCAUUUGACCUUGCAAUUCAUUAUUACUAUUUCUAACUUAUUAAACUGCUGUUACUUACCUCA